UAUGGUCAAGCACAUACUAACAUCCAUAAAACUCAUUACAUAACUAUACUGUACUUUUACAUUACAAUUUUGAUCAUGUCCAUUACUAGCUAUUACAAAGGCAUAACUUCUUUACUCUAUCCGGACUCCCGCACUAUACUGUACCUGCAAGCCUGGGGGUAAAGGGAGAGGGGUGAGCUAAAAUAAAAGCCCAGUGAGUAGAGCUAGUAAAACACAUUAACACUAUGCUCAAAUGGAAUGCAUCAUAACACAGACAAUUCACAUAAGGGUUGGGUGAACUUGUCACCAAAUAGUCCAAGUUAACUCUGUGCCAGGCCGUAGCAUGGGGUCCUGGUCUUCCUGUCAUACAUACAUUACUUACCAUUUUCCCAGGGCCUCCUCUGGGCUCCUGGUCUUCGAGUCCCAUAAUCGUACCUUACUCUGUGCCAGGCCUGUAGAAUGGGGCCUGGUCUUUCUUACUCUGUGCCAGGCCGUAGCAUGGGGUCCUGAUCUUCCUGUCUUGGACUAAUUGGGUCAUCCAACAUUCACCCACAUCAACAACAAUUUAUGCAAUGCGGCAUAUUCGUGAAAACUAAUGCAAUCAUCCUAUUGCAUAAUCAUGAUGCAUGAAACAUGAUAAAACAUUUAAUUUAAAAGAUUUAGUUUAGUUCCACUCACCUCUGGCUGACUCUGACAACACCGCAGCUGAACUCACUGCUGGGGUCCUCGGUUCCUCGGGUCCGAACCUACACAGGUGGACUCAAAUGAGGGACCAAACAUACUUGAACACAACUC
rnacentral:lncRNA from 1 species